rnacentral:tRNA from 3 species
AGCGGGAUGGAGCAGUGGUAGCUCGUCGCCUUCAUACGGCGAAGGUCGCCAGUUCAAAUCUGGCUCCCGCAA